GGCCCUAUCGUCUAGAGGCUAGGACGUAUCCCUCUCACGGAUAAAACUGGGGUUCAAUUCCCCAUAGGGUCACCG
rnacentral:tRNA from 1 species